UCAACUUCCGAAUAGAAAAUUACAAGAUUUUGGUGACAUCAAGAUAUGAAUUUCCAAGUUUUGGAUCCACAUAUAAAUAGAAAACAUUGAAUCUUGCAGAUGCCAUGACCCUUUUUCAGAAAUUGGCAUUUCCAUUGGAUCAGCAGUCAUAUGCUCCAGAUCAGGAAAUUCUAGAGGAGGUGAUUUAUCAACCUGCAAUUAUUAAUGCUUAUUUGCUCAUUUUUAUUUGGUUUUCACCUUCUACAUAAAUACAAAUUAGUGAACAAAUAUUCUCUGUCCAAUAUUGUGACUCUCUGAUUUAGCAUGCACUUGUGCUUACUUGUUUGUUGUCUUAUCAAGUGCUAUCAGACCUUCAAAUAAAAAUUCCGAUACCAUGUGUUUUGAAUCUGUAAAUUUACUCCAGGGAUGAUAUCUUACAAUUUUGCAACUAUAGAAAAGAAAAGAAAAACGUCCAUUUUUCAGACAGAGAAGUACUCGUUGCUAAAAGUUUUAGUACUUCACAAUUAUGGGUUCGUUCCAGCUGAAUUGACCAAUUUCCCACUUCUUCGUUCUUUGUCAAAUCUAAAGAGAAUAAGACUGGAAAAAGUUUCCAUCCCAUCCCUUUUCUUGACUUCAAUGAAAUGGAGGAAGCUUGAAAAGAUGUCCUUGGUUAUGUGCAAUAUUCAUCAAGCUUUUAAUAAAUCUACCAACAAGAUUUCGGAUGCUUUCCCAAAGUUAGUCGACCUCACCAUUGACUACUGCAAUGAUCUGGAGGAAUUGCCAACAGGAUUCUGCGAUCUUGUCUUGCUAAGAAAGCUCAGUAUCACAAAAUUGUCAUAAGCUUUUGGCACUGCCAGAGGACAUGGGAAAUUUACUUGAUUUGGAGGUCCUAAGGCUCAACUCCUGCAUCGAAUUGACAGAGUUACCGGGCACAAUCGGUAGACUUCAUAAAUUGCAGAUUCUUGACUUAUCCGAAUGUCUAAGUGUAACAGAAUUACCAGAACAGAUCGGUCAGUUGCAUGAUCUGAGAAAGCUCUACAUGAUAGAGUGCUCAAGUUGUGAAUUGUCAUCAUCAGUUGCGAAUCUUGUCUGCCUAAAAGAAGUAAUAGGCGAUCAAGAAACUGCCAUGUCAUGGAAUCGUUUCAAACCCUGCCUUCCAUCUCUGACGAUAAAGGUACAUAUGGAAAACAACUUGAACUGGCUUGGGUAGCCAUUGUUUUCUGAUAAUGAUUAUUUUCCAAGAAUUCUGACGAGCCUUUAAUUUUUAAUUAUGUCAUUGUGCUUUCCUUUAAUGAAUAGAAAGAAGGUGUGGUUCUGUAAAUUGUUAGUAGCCCUCGUUAAAAAUUGUAUUAUAAUGGCGUGGAUCAAUGUCAAGCCAUUUUUCCUUGCAAAAAGACGUUUCCUCAUAAACCCAAAACGCAGCUUGCCAGCAAUUUCUACGAGCUGCAAUAUUUGACUAGAUUUGAUGGAUUUUUGGUUUGAGGAUUAUCAUAGAAUCCAUUUGGACGAGCUUAUUUGAAUUGAUGAAGUAAAAUGAAUAAAAAGCUAUCAUGUUCUAGCUUUGAAAUGUCUUUUUAGAGACUUGGAGAUUUGAAUUCUACAUACUUUUUAUUAAAAAUAUAAUAUAAAUCAUAUCCUAGAACUUCACUUAAUAGUUUAAAUUAUUGGGUUGAGAUGGUUCUUUGACAUGGUAUCAGAGCCUUGAUGAUCAAGUGAUCAUAAGUUCGAAUCUCAUCAUCCUUAUUUAUUUGAUAAAAAUUAAGCACAAUGUAAUGUGAGCAUAUUUAAGUUUCAAGCCCAAACGGCUUUUACUUGAGGAAGGGUGUUAGAGAAUAAUAUAAAUCAUAUACUGGAACCUCACCUAAUAAUUUAAACUAUCAAAUUGAGAUGGUUCUUUGACUCCUUUCAAAAGGAACAAUCACUACACAGAUUAGCUUGCUAACUUCAGCCAUAGACUAGUAGGGGUGGGUGGGUGUAUUCUAAUGCCAAAACCCCAUAUGGUCUUUAAUUUUUUUUUUAUAUAAACAAAAUGGCUAAAUUGCAUAGCCAUUAGGUUUAAAAAAAAAAAUUAUCCUUCAACAAUUUAUUUUUUUUAUUUUCUUUUUAUUAGUUUAUAUAUCGAUCUUAUGAAUUUUUUUUAUUUCAACUUUCAACAAUAGAUAUUUUGAAAGAAAGGUUUCAUAAUAUUUUUUAUUUUUUUUUAUGAAUUUAUCUCAAUCUCAUGGUUCAAGUCGUUGAUUUAACAAGUUAACCUGUGUUGAUUGAGGGUUUUUUUUUUUGCUGAUUUUUCUAAUUAAUUUUUUUUAUUCCAUCCUUCAACAUUGAGUUGAUUUGGAAUUGGACUUCAUAAAUUUUUAUUCAAUUUUCUUUCUAUAAAUUUCUUUCGAUCUCAUGACUUGGGAAGUAAAUUUCACAGGUUGGCCUAUGUUAACUUGGUUAAUUUUUAUGGGUCUUUUUUUAUUUGAUUUUCUUUUAAUUUCACCCUCCAACAACCAAAUCUUGUUCCUUUUUUUAGUAUUUUUUUUCAAUUUCAUCCUCCAAUAUUAUAUUUUUUGGGAAUUAGGUUUUGAAAUUUUUUUUAAUCAACUUUUUAUAAGGUUAUUUUAGUCUCAUGGAUUUAAUUUUUUAUUCUUUUUUAAUUGUUUUUUAAAUUCAUCCUUAAACAUUGGAUUGAUUAGAAAUUGAUCUUUAUAAUUUAUAUUGAUUUGUUUUUUAUAGAAUUAUUAUGGUCUAUGACCCAAGUCACAUAUUUGAGAGGUUAAUUCGAAUCGAUCUAAUAUGUUAUUAGCUUAAUAUUUAAUAGAUAAUUUUUUAUAUAAAAAAUAUCUGACUCGCUAUGUAUCACAAGCCGAUUAUCCAAAUAACAACUAGAUAUUGUAAUUCCCCCUUCAUACUCUGCUAGUCCCAUCUCAUAAUCUCUUUAAUUAAUAAAAUAAAAUAUGAAAAAAUACCCUUAGUUAUAUUAUUCACAAAUGAUGAUAAUAAAUGUUUUCAUGUGUUUACAUCUAUAUAUUUAAUAGGUAAAAGUCGAAAGAUAUUCACAUUUUUACGUUUUUUUAAUCAUUUCCUAUCACGAAAUUCAAUUUCUUUGAACAAACGUUUUUUCGUCAUGCUAUUCUUUUUUCAAAGCACUCUGUGUUUUUAAAUAUUACUUUUCAAUAAAAUAUUUCUUUCAAAAAAUAUAAUUGAAUAAAUUGAUAUUUUUUGAAAAUUAAAUUUUUAUACACUUGUUUUUUAUUUACAGUAAUUAUAAAGUUUAAUAAUUAAAAAAAAAUUGUUUUCAAAGAUAAUUGAUUUGGUGAAAAUAAUGCACUCCGUAUUUAUCUGAUAGAUAAGGAUAAUAUAGUAUAUCAAUAAACUUUGUAAUAAAUAUGAUGUCAAAAUAAUAAUUCAUGGAAUGAAAAUAUAACUACCUUUAUAAUUAAUUUAAUUAUAGUAUUAAAUUUGAAUUUAACUAAUAAAUAAAUUAAAUUCACAUAUUUAAAAGAGACAUUCUAUCACUUAAUUCAAUUCAUUUUAUUUUUUACAUUACUUUCAUCACCCUCACCUUAUUUCAAUUCUUCUAUGCUAUCAUCACUGCAAAAUUACCUAAAAAUGAAAUUCAAAUACCUUUCAAUAAGAUCUUAUAUAUAUAUUGUGUAUCGAAUAGAAAAGAAAAGUUGGUCUCUAAUUUAUUUUUAUACUAUUUUUAAAGAUUGAAUUCCAUUAAAAUUUUAAUUCUUGACACAAAAAAUAAUUUUAAACAUGAUAAUUUAUUAAAAUUUAUAAAUUGAAAUAAAUUCAGAGUAUUUCAAACACCUAUAAAGAAUAGUAUUAUAUUCACUCCAUAUUGUGUUAAUCUUACUCAAUAGUGUAUUUGUAUUACUUAGAUAGACUAAAAUAUUUGUAAUUAUAUUUUUAAUGAAUGAGAAUAUUAAAUAUUAGUAUGAAAUUUAUAUACAACCCAAUGUCUUUUUUUUUUGUAAUUAUAUUAUACUAUUCAAAUUUUACUUUUUUUUAUCAUUCCCUAUCAUCAAAAUAUCAAAUUCAAAAAAGGGUCAAAUUAUGAUUUUUUUUCUUCAAUAUUUUUUUUAUUUUCCAAAUUCCAAAUAAAAUUUUUAUUUAUAAAAUAUAUAUAAUAGAUAUUAAUUUAUUUUUUAUUGUAAGAGCGAUUAUAAUUUCAAAAAAAUAUUAUAUAUUUCUUUUUUUACUUGAAUUAAUUUUGACUUUUAAUAAUUACAAAGUAACAUUUCAAUAAAAUUUGAUUUGAUCAAAAUAAGAUAUUCCAUACAAAUAUGUAACCCCAAUCUCUCUUUUUAAUCUAUGCCUUUUCUUAUCUUAUAAGUUAUUAUUUCUUAUCAAGAAGAAAGAACUUUUAUAUUUAUAAAUACAUCACACAGAUACAUUUACUUAUAUCAAAUACAAAUAGAUUAAAGAAAAUUGACAAUAAUAUCUCAGAAAUAUUAUAAUAAUAAAAAAUAAUUAAAAAAUAACUACUAUUAAAAAAAGUGAACCAAACAAGUUAAAGAAAUCAGAGAAAUUAGGAAACAAAUUUUUUUUUUUUAAAAAAAAAAAAGGUAAAUUUCCCGAUGCCAUCAACCCACGGGCCGGGGACCGCCAGCGUCGACCAGCACCGUAGUCAACCAAAACAACCCACGCUGACAUCACCAGAUUUGUUGUGAUUUAAGUGCAUUCAAGAAAUGGAUGUUAAGGUCUAGAUCUAUUAAAAUAAAAUCUAAUCGAAGUGAAUGUGUGCGCAUUAUCUAUCUCCUGGAAUUUGACAUCUCCUGGGAGUUUUUUCUGCUGAGACUGCUUGGAAAUUUUCAACUCAGUGGUGUAGUUCUACUGCUGAAGAUAGCAAAAUUUUCAACUCAGUGGCGUUGGCAGGACAAUUGAAGAAUGGGAUGUCGAGUCUUGUGGGGCCAAAGGAAAGUUGCAGGAAAAGGAUUCAAGUCUGGUGUCAUGAGAGUUUCUUGGUGUUUUUUAAUUUUCUUAAUUUGGAAGGAAUGAAAUCGAAGACCUCAAGAUGCUGUCAAGUUUUGAAAACUAAGAGUGAUUUACCUGCAGCAAAAAGUUACUAACAAGGAAAAUGAUAUCUUUCCCACUCAUGUAAGGAGUAUAUUUCGAUCCUCUAGGGUUUUUUUUUUUUUGUACAAAUUAAAAAUUUAAAAUUUUUUAUAUAUUUUGUUCUUAACUAAAACACAUAAGGUAAUAAUGUUCUUCUUGUAUUUUAUGUUUGGAAUACUAGCUAGAUUAUAUUAUUAUAUAUUUUUAGUAGUGUUUAGAACUCUUAAAUGAUAAAGUCAAUAACUUUUUAAAAACAAUUAUAAUAAAUAAGAGAAUAAACAUUAAAUUCCAAGAACAAGUGUUUUUGUUCUUGUUUUGGUAAAAUAAAUGUUUUGGGAUUUAAAAGUAUUAUUGUCUAGAAAAUAAAAAAUUGUAACCCCUUACCUGAAAUUCAUGAGAUAUUUAUAGCUUAUAAAUCUUAUUUUUUUAGUUUCGGUGGAGAGGCUAGAAUAUAAUUUUUUUCCUGAUAGCAUUAAUGAUGAAUAAAUAUCUCUUACACAAACAUUAAUAAAAGUCAAAUAUCUCUUAUACAUAUAUUAACAAUGAAUAAAUAUUUUUAAUUUUAACAUUUAUAUUAAAAGUCAUAAGAAUAAGUAAAUAAAAUCUUACAACCCAACAUGAGGCAUAUAAUGGACUUUUAGUUCUUUAUGCUUAGCACACUCUCAAACCCAUGAUUGAUAGGUAUGGUAGCGGGCUAUAUACAUGCUCAUUUGGACUUGGCAUGUAACUAAACUUGAGCUAGACCCAUCUCAUCCGGGCUAAGCAUUUUGUCAAAACCAGAGAUGUUGGAUAUAGACACGAGACUUGCCCACUUAUCAAGGCAUUAUCAUCUUGCAUUUGAACCUUUGAAAUAGGAACUUAGGCUCAAAUUUAUUUUUCAUAAAGUUUAUUGCACGUGUGCGGCGUCGCGGUGAAAACAUUCACCCUCAAAAUCUUAUCUAAUGUGACAAAUGUGAGGAGAUAAGGAAUUCUUAUCUUUUAUUAGUGGAAAAAUUAGAAUGGGAGUCGUCAUCUAGUAUUUUGGUCACUAGGAAUCCUAAUUGGUCACAGAGAUCAAGUACGGGGACUGGUUGCGUAAAGGAAAGGUUUUAGCACCCCAAAUACGUCCUACCUAAGAUAGGCUGCAUUGUUUAAUUGUCUGAUAAAAUCUAAGGUCUUAUUGUGUUUUCUAGUUGUUGGUCCGUCUAAGGUUUAAGAAAAGUGCUCCUCGGUAAGGAGAUCGUUAUCCUAUUAGAUAAAACCUAAAUGUUCUGACGUCAACAAAAGAAAAAUAAUUUUUUUAGAAUUUUUGAAAUAUUGGCCUAGUUCUCGUUGCUUUAAUAAACUGGUUAUUAAAGCCAAAAUGCAUGCUAAUACAUAUUUUUUGAAAUUUUCUUUGUUAUAUGAAAAUACAAUAUGAUUAAUUUUUAUUUUUAUUUUUGAGAGACUUGGCCGUAUGCAUAAAAACAAAACAUUUUUUUAUUUUUUAUUUUUUAUUUUUUAUUUUUUAUUUUUUUUAUUUUUUAAUGUCUUGACAAAAACCGGGUAUUUUUAAUACAUGAUUUGUAUAUUUAUAAUAUAAAAAUAGAAACCAAUAUUGAUCGAAAUGAAGUAAAUUAUUUGCGGAAAAUCAUAGAUUUUUUUGAAAUAAUUUUUGAACUUUUUUUGGGCUGGGCCCAGCCCGGCUCAUGUGGCUGGGUUGGACCCGCAGGCCUGGCUGGGUCACUGGACCAAAGCAGUGACCCGGAUAAACAAUAUAAAGCACGCGUGAAUUUCUUCACGCGUGCAUGGACUGUGCGAAGGCAAUUAAAUUACCUUUGCACAGUGACAUGCAUUUAUUUUUUUGCAGAGUCGAAGAAUGGAAGAGAAACAAACCUGGUUUUGGAGAAAGGAGGCCGAUGGUUGUGUUGCUCUGUUGGGUUCGUGAUUCUGGAGAAGGAAAAUCCUAUGGUGAUGCUGGCCUCCUCUGCUGGUUCCCUGGUUCUGAAGAGAGUGAAGCCGGUGGUGAUGGUGGCUUCCUCUGGUAUUUCCUUCGUUCUGGAAGAGAAAAGAGCAGAUGGUGGCUGUUCCUUCUCUGUUCUACUCUUUUUCCUCACUGUCACCUCUGUUCUCCUUUCUUCCUCCUCCUUGUCUCGUUCUCCCUCCAGUCUUUCUUUUUUUCUUUUCUUUCCCCUCUCUGCUCCUCCCUCGUUCUCUCCCUCCUGGUGCAGUAUAUCCUCUGGCUUUUAUAGCCAGAGGAUGCAGGCGUUUUCCCUUUCUUGUUGCAGGGAUGGAGUAACGGCCGGCGUGCAUCAUGGUAGCCGUGAAACAUGCCCCCUUGAUUGAAGCAAAUCGCGCCUUCACCGCUGCAAAUCUUUCUCAGCCAGCUCGUGAAAUGCAUGCUAAAGAAGAUAUUAAACAGUACUGAAUAAAACGGCACCGUUUUGCAACUUUAAAUGAUAUUUCCGAUUUGGUUUUUGGAUGUUAAUGCUAAAGAAGAUGUUAAUGCAACUUUAAAUUAUUUAUUUUUAUUUAAUGAUAUAAUAACGAAAAUAAAAACUUAUAAAAUUGAGUAUUAAUCAAAUAGUUAAUUUUUCAUAUGUUUAUUGAAUACAUCUUAAACUCUAAGUUUUCAUAUAUAUAUAUAUUCAAAUUUCCAAACUUGUUUAUUAAAUUGAUGAGAUAUGGAUUUAUUAAUGAUUGUUGGGUGAGUUUUGAAGAAAAAACACGGGUUGCAUGAGAUAUUUAAAGAUUUAAAUUGGAGAAAAUCUAAUAAAAAUAAUGCCAAUCAAACAUUAUAAACAUUUAGGCAAUGUAUGUUUUAUAAAAAUUGAUUUUUUAGAAACUAUUUUUAAAACUGUUUUUUAUUUAUUUAACAUUAGAAAAGUUAGUAAAUAGAAAAUAUUUUUUAAUCAAAGAAAAAAUUUAGCUUAGUUUUUCAAAAAAAAAAAAUUCUUUUAAUUUUAAACGUAAAAUAUUUUUCAUAAGUUGUAAAAAACAUAAAAAUAUAUUUUUAUUUAUUAAAUAUAUCAAAUUUAGUCUUAAUCUUUUAAUUGUUGUAUAUUUUAUGUUUAAUUUUUUUAAUUUUAUUUUUUAAAAUUUAAUUUAAUUUAAUUUGAUUCUUAUACUAACUUUAAUCCCUAUUAUUUUCUUAUAAUUCAAAUUAAAAACGAUAAUUACUAGAGUUGUCAUAAAAAAUGUGAACGGUUUAACCUACUACUUAUUUUGUUUUUAUGAAUUUUGUUUUGGACAAUUAAAUGCAAAAUAAUUAUUAUGAAGCAUUGACGGGAAUAAAUUAUAUUACACUAAAAAAUUAAAAUAGACCCUAGAAUUGUUCUUGUUUGUUGAGUUGUUUGCGAAAGAUGCAGUCAUUUUAUUUAUUUAUUUAUUUAUUUGCCCACCAAUCUUUUGGUGAACGUGUUUCUUAGAAGUCAAGAAGUGUAUAUUUCUAUAACAACUUAUUUAAUUCUCAAAGUGGACCAACGGGCACUAAAAGUUGGAAAGAGUAUAGAGAGUGAAAGUUCGAUGCUCUGACGAGGAAGCUGCCAUGAAAUUCCUCAUUGCAACUUGCAAGCCUGCUCUGACGGGCAACAAAAGUUGGAAAGAUGCCUCGACAGUUGACUUGACUUAACUGUAGCAGUAUUUUUUUUACAAAAGUUUGAUUGAAUUAAAAAAUAUAUAUAAAUGCACUAAAAAAACACUAUCCUAAGUCUUUGAGCUAACGGAAUCCUUCAGGUCUUCAACUCCGGUGAAAGGAAACUCAGCCCUUUAAGCCUUUAAAAUUCUUUAUAAAAAUCCUCUAAGGUGCAGCAAAAAGUUGCUAACAAAGAAAAAUGAGAUCCUUCCUACUCAUGUCACGAGUAAUAUCAAGUUUUUUUAGUUUUUUUUUAUAUAAAUUAAAAUUUUAAAAAUUAUCUAUGUAUUUUAUUCUUAAGUAGCCAUAUAACACAAAACGUAAUAAUAUCCUCCUUUUAUUUUGUGUUUGGAAUACUAGAUUACAUUAUUUUGUAUUUUUUAUGGUGUUUGGGACCCUCAAAUAAUCUUUUGGUGAACGUUGUUUCUUAGAAAUCCAGAAGCAUAUUUUUCAUUAACUUUGUCCUGAUAUAUAUAUAUAUAUAUAAAAUUCAAUCAAACUUUUGUAAGAUAAAAUACUGCUAUAGUUAAGUCAAGUCAACUGUCGAGGCAUCUUUCCAACUUUUAUUGCCCAUCAGAGCAGCUUGCAAUGAGGAAUUUCAUGGCAGCUUCCUCGUCAGAGCAUCGAACUUUCAUCUUGAAGAAUUUAUUUAUUCUCAAAGUGGACCCACAGGCAAUAAAGUUGGAAAGUGUCUAGGGAGUGAAAGUUCGAUGCUCUGACGAGGAAGCUGCCAUGAAAUUCCUCAUUGCAAGCUGCUCUGUAUUUUUUCUUACAAAAGUUUGAUUGAACACUAAAAAAACACUAUCCUAAGUCUUUGAGCUAACGGAAUCCUUCAGGUCUUCAACUCCGGUGAAAGGAAACUCGGUCCUUAAGCCUUUAAAAUUCUUGAUUUGGACCUUGUCUUCUUCUCUUUAUGAAAUGUCACCCCCAGGUUCUAUGUAUUAAUAAAUUAAAAUCUAAAAUUAAAAUCUACACAUCUCACGAUCUUAUGGGUCCCCCACAUGAGAUUUAAUUUGUUAAUAAAUUAAACCAUGAAAGAAGGGCUGUCAAGGACCAAUGUCACAAACUUUAAAGAUUAGGGACGAAGUUUCCUUUGAUCAAAACUUCAGGGGAGGUUUGAAUCAAUUAGCUUUCAAUAUAUAUGUAAAGGAACAGAGAAACAACUAAAAGAAGAGAAUUACAUUAUGGUCACCAAUCAAAAAACAAUUUAAGGUUGAAAAGUCAAUCCUCUCAAGUCCACACACUUUACACAUCAUCAACACAAGAAAUUAGAAAACUAGCAUAUAAUGAUGCUUUACUUCGUUUCUCAAGAAAUAAACACGAUAGGAAAUCGAGUUCCCCGGAAAAGAUUUCCAUCUACCCAAAACAGCCCAGAAACCAUUUUCCUCUUAACUUCAGUUCCUCACUAGUUACUGUACAAAACUCAGCUGGUUUUUCUUUGUGAAAAAGAAGCCAUGGCAGCUCAAGUUGUGAUAUCAUCAGUUGCUGGGGCUGGUUUCCAGAUGAUUUUUGGUGAUUUCAAAGAGGUGGUUUUCGAUGCACUGAAAAACAACUCCCAGUUCAAGCCAAGCUUGAAGCGCCUAGCGGAUAUGUUAGAAGAAAUGGCUCCAACUAUCAAGAGAAUAGAGUCUUUCAACAGAGAGCUUGAUCAACCAAAGCAACUUGAAGGGCUCAAAGCAUUAAUGAAAAAAGGCAAUGAUUUAGUCUCUAAAUGCUCAAAAAUCCAUAAAUACAACUAUUAUAAGAGGCCUCUUUAUAACAAGAAACUUCUCAAGUUGGGGAAGGAUAUUCGUGAUCAUAUUACCCGUUUGCAAUUUCAGGGAAUAGCAGAUACAAAAGAGAUUUUGCAUACACAAAAUUCGACUUUGGUCGCUGUGGAAGGUGUUUCUUCUGGAGUAAGACAGUUAACUGAUGAAAUCGGCAAGUUAAGCAUGACUCUAAGCAAUGGUGGUAGGGUCGAUUCAAGCAAGAGCUAUCCUCUACUGAAAGUGGAUCCUGUUGGAUUGGAGAUUCCAUUGAGUGAUUUGAGGAUAAAGCUGCUUAAUGACGAGACAUCACAGCAUAUUGUGUUAUCUGCUCCUAGAGGAUAUGGAAAGACAACAUUGGCUACAGCACUUUGUCAACAUGGGGAUGUUAAAGGUACACAUUUACUACUUGUGAGUUCUUUUGACUACCUCCUUUUGUCUUUCUACUUCUUCUGCUUAUUUUUGGUCCGGCUAUUUGUAUCCAUUUUUUAUGGUAAGAGAAUGUUUUAGUUAGUACACCUGUUAUAAAGGUUCUAUGAUCAUGUUAGGCAAACAAUUUUGCAAACAGAAUAGGGUAUCUGAACAAAGUUGAGCUUUAGUGCCCGAAAAAGGUUUCAUUUUGUUUUCAUAUCUUCAGGGUAAUUGCCAGGUACAUCCAUUUCCUGUUUCUGUUAGUAUCUGAACGGAUGCUUUUGUCAUGUUGAAUUGUAACCACACGUAAAGACUUGUGUUUCUGCAGAAUUGUGGGGCUGUUAUCGAUUGAAAUAAGCAAAUGUAUGAUAUUUUAGACUCAGUUCAUUACUUGGAACUCUUUAGCAGAGUAAAUGAAUCAAUUCCCAUAUUUUUGCUUUUAGUUUUUCUGAGGAUUAGAAUUUGGAGUUCCACUUGUAGGCUCUUGUCUCCGUUUUUAUUUAGCUAUAUGUGAAAACAUAAGAAUUUCUGAAGAAAUUUCAUUACAGCUUUCUUCUUUUCCGCCUUUUAAGAUAAAUUCAAGAGCAACAUCUUCUUUGUCAACGUUCCAAAGCUGCGCAACCUGAUGGUCAUUGUGAAGAUGAUAUUCCAGCAUAAAGAAUUCGAGUUACCUGAUUUUCGAAGUGAAGAAGAUGCAGCUAACCAUUUGGAACGUUUGUUCCAGCAGAUGAUGUUUGGCCAGGAUCGAAAUCUAUUCUUGACAAGCUCAACUUCCGAAUAGAAAAUUACAAGAUUUUGGUGACAUCAAGAUAUGAAUUUCCAAGUUUUGGAUCCACAUAUAAAUUGAAAACAUUGAAUCUUGCAGAUGCCAUGACCCUUUUUCAGAAAUUGGCAUUUCCAUUGGAUCAGUAGUCAUAUGCUGCAGAUCAGCAAAUUCUAGAGGAGGUGAUUUAUCAACCUGCAAUUAUUAAUGCUUAUUUGCACAUUUUUAUUUGGUUUUCACCUUCUACAUAUAUACAAAUUAGUGAACAAAUAUUCUCUGUCCAAUAUUUUGACUCUCUGAUUUAGCAUGCACUUGUGCUUACUUGUUUGUUGUCUUAUCAAGUGCUAUCAGAACUUCUAAUAAAAAUUAGGGAAUGCUCUAAAGCUGCUUCUAUUCUUUCCGAAGAUGAAAUUCUCGAUUGUCUUCAAAGCAGUGUGGAAGCCUUGAAUGAUGAUGUAGUAGCCAAGGAAUGUUUCAUGGACCUUGGUUCAUUCCCUGAAGACCAGAGGAUUCCUGCCACUACCCUUAUUGAUAUGUAUAAACUGGAUGAGGAUGACGCCAUUGCCAAUCUCCACGAACUCUCUGAUAGGAAUCUGAUUGAAGUUGUAGUUACAAGGUACGACAUUAUCAUGGCCAGGGUAUUUAUUCUAGUAAUAGUAUGUGGAGUCUCCACAUAAACAUCGAUUCUACGAAUAUCAUAUGGACCUUUAUAUAUAAAAUGAGCUAUCCUGGAAAAUAUUAGAAGAACAAAUCAUGGAAAAUAUUAGAAGAACAAAACCAUUACCAACUGGUUUAUGGGGGGUUAAAAUAAUUGGUUAUCUUUUUGGGUUUCGCUGAUGGAUGACCAGCUUCAACUGCUAUGAUUGCAACUUUUGAUGGUCAUUAGAACUCCACUUAUGAUAUUCGUUUCAAUUAACUUGUGUGCUAUUAGUAGCUAACUUGUCAAGAGUGUGAGUCUCUAAGCAAUCAACGCCUGUGAUUCACCAGGAAAGAUGCAAACGAAGACGAUGGCUCCUAUAAUGAGCAUUUUGUCACGCAGCAUGACCUGCUCAGGGAGCUGGCCAUCCGUGGAAGCAACACAGGAAACAUUGAGCACAGGAAACGAGUAUUAUUGGAGAUAAUUGAAAAUAAAAUCCCUGAGUGGUUGAUGGAACAAGAUCAGCUAUCAAUCUGGGCCAAACUCUUAUCUAUCUCAACAGGUUAUUAAUCUCUAUAUUUUCUUAAUACAAAGAGAGCCUGGCCUCUGCGCACAUGCAUCGAACAUAACCAAUUUUUUAAUUUUGUUUUGUAUUUUCAUCACCUUGUUUGCAGAUGAAACAUUCUCAUCAAGUUGGUCCACCAUGCAAGCGCCGGAAGUUGAGGUUUUGCUUCUGAAUUUUCAGACAGAGAAAUACUCGUUGCCUGAGUUCAUAGAAAGAAUGAAUAAGCUAAAAGUUUUAGUACUUCACAAUUAUGGGUUCGUUCCAGCUGAAUUGAGCAAUUUCCCACUUCUUGGUUCUUUAUCAAAUCUUAAGAGAAUAAGGCUGGAAAAGGUUUCCAUCCCAUCCCUUUUCUUGACUUCAAUGAAAUGGAGGAAGCUAGAAAAGAUGUCCUUGGUUAUGUGCAAUAUUGAUCAAGCUUUUAAUAAAUCUACCAACAAGAUUUCGGAUGCUUUCCCAAAGUUAGUCGACCUCACCAUUGACUACUGCAAUGAUCUGGAGGAAUUGCCAACAGGAUUCUGUGAUCUUGUCUUGCUAAGAAAGCUCAGUAUCACAAAUUGUCAUAAGCUUUUGGCACUGCCAGAGGACAUGGGAAAUUUACUUGAUUUGGAGGUCCUAAGGCUCAACUCCUGCAUCGAAUUGACAGGGUUACCGGGCACAAUCGGUAGACUUCAUAAGUUGCAGAUUCUUGACUUAUCCGAAUGUCUGAGUGUAACAGAAUUGCCAGAACAGAUCGGUCAGUUGCAUGAUCUGAGAAAGCUCUACAUGAUAGAGUGCUCAAGUUGUGAAUUGCCAUCAUCAGUUGAGAAUCUUGUCCGCCUAAAAGAAGUAAUAGGCGAUCAAGAAACUGCCAUGUCAUGGAAUCGUUUCAAACCCUGCCUUCCAUCUCUGACGAUAAAGGUACAUAAGGAAAACAACUUGAACUGGCUUGGGUAGCCAUUGCUGUUUUCUGAUAAUGAUUAUUCUCCAAGAAUUCUGACGAGCCUUUAAUUUGUAAUGAUGUCAUUGUGCUUUUCUUUAAUGCAAAGAAAGAAGGUGUGAUUCUGUAAAUUGUUAGUAGCCAUUUUUCCUUGCAAAAAGAGGUUUCCUCAUAAACCCAAAACGCAGCUUGCCAGCAAUUUCUACGAGCUGAAAUUUUUUACUAGAUUUGAUGGAUUUUUGGUUUGAGGAUUAUCAUAGAAUCCAUUUGGACGAGCUUAUUUGAAUUGAUGAAGUAAAAUGAAUAAAAAGCUCUCAUGUUCUAUUUUUAGAGAGUAGGAGAUUUGACAUGCUUUUUUAUUAGAAAAUAAUAUAAAUCAUAUCAUGGAACCUCACUUAAUAAUUUAAAUUAUUGGGUUGAGAUGGUCCUUUAACAUGGUAUCAAAGCCUUGAUGAUCAAGUAGUCACGAGUUCGAAUCACACCAUCCCUAUUUAUUUGAUAAAAAUCAAGCACAAGGUAAUGUGAAUCCCACCAUCCCAAAAAAUAUAUAUUUUUUAAAAUAUAUAUAUAUAUAUAUAUCCUUCAACAAUUUAAUUUUUUUUUCUUUCUAUUAGUUUAUAUAUCGAUCUUAUGAAUUUUUUUUAUUUCAACUUUCAACAUUAGAUAUUUUGAAAGAAAGGUUUCGUAAUAUUUUUCAAUUAUUUUUUUAUGAAUUUAUCUCAAUCUCAUGGUUUAAGUCAUUGAUUUAACAAGUUAACCUAAGAUGAUUGAAGGUUUUUUUGCUGAUUUUUCUAAUUAAUUUAUUUUAUUUCAUCCUUCAACAUUGAGUUGAUUUAGAAUUGAGCUUCGUAAAUUUUUAUUCAAUUUUCUUUCUAUAAAGUUAUCUCGAUCUCAUGACAUGGUAUCAAAGCCUUGAUGAUCAAGUAGUCACGAGUUCGAAUCACAUCAUCCCUAUUUAUUUGAUAAAAAUCAAGCACAAGGUAAUGUGAAUCCCACCAUCCCAAAGGGCUUUCACUUGAGGGGGUGUGUUAGGGAAUAAUAUAAGUCAUAUCCUAGAACCUCACCUAAUAGUUUAAGCUAUCGGAUUGAGAUGAUUCCUUUGACACCUUUCAGGGGGAACAAUCAGUACAUAGAUUAGCUUGCUAAUUACAGCCAUAGACUGGUAGGGGUGGGAGGGUGUAUUCUAAUGCCGAAACCCCAUAUGGUCUUUAAUUUUUUUUAAAAAAAAAAACACUAAACGAAAUGGCUAAAUUGCAUAGCCAUUAGGUUUUGUUUUUUAAAAAAUAUAUAUAUCCUUCAACAGUUUAAUUUUUUUUUCUUUCUAUUAGUUUAUAUAUCGAUCUUAUGAAUUUUUUUUAUUUCAACUUUCAACAUUAGAUAUUUUAAAAGAAAGGUUUCAUAAUAUUUUUCAAUUAUUUUUUUAUGAAUUUAUCUCAAUCUCAUGGUUCAAGUCGUUGAUUUAACAAGUUAACCUGAGAUGAUUGAAGGUUUUUUUGCUGAUUUUUCUAAUUAAUUUAUUUUAUUUUAUCCUUCAACAUUGAGUUGAUUUAGAAUUGAGCUUCGUAAAUUUUUAUUCAAUUUUCUUUCUAUAAAGUUAUCUCGAUCUCAUGACUUGAAUUAUAAGUUUGACAGGUUGGCCUGUGUUAACUUAGUUAAUUUUUACGGGUCUUUUUUAUUUGAUUUUUUUUCAAUUUCACCCUCCAACAACCAAAACUUCUUCUUCUUUUUUUAGUUUUUUUUUUCAAUUUUAUCCUUCAAUAUUAAGUUAUUUGAGAAUUAGGUUUUGUUUAAUUUACUUUUUAUGAGGUUAUUUGGUCUCAUGGAUUUAAUGUUUUGUUCUUUUUUUAUUUUUUUUAAAAUUCAUCCUUAAACAUUGAAUUAAUUAGGAAUUGACCUUUAUAAUUUAAAUUGAUUUGUUUUUUUUAUAGAAUUAUUACGGUCUGAUGACCCAAAUCACAAAUUUGAGUGGUUAAUUCGGAUCGAUCUUAUAUGUUAUUAUCUUAAUAUUUUUUAAAACAAAGGACAACCAACAUGUCAUUGUAUUAAAUUAAAAAAAAAAUUCGUUCAAUAUGUAUCAUAUUUUGAGUUCAUGAUUUUUUUAUUAUAAAACAUGUUAUUAAUACUUAGAUAAUUGUUUAUAUAAAAAAAUGAUCUGACCCACAAUGUAGCAUGAGCCGAUUAUCCAAGUAACAACUAGAUAUUGUAAUUCCCCCUUCAUAAUUUGCUAGUCCCAUCUCAUAAUCUCUCUUUAAUUAAUAAAAUAAAAUAUGAAAAAAUACUCUUAGUUAUAUUAUUCACAAAUGAUGAUAAUAAAUGUUUUCUUGUGUUUACAUCUAUAUAUUUAAUAGGUAAAAGUCGAAAGAUAUUCACAUUUUUACCUUUGUUUUAAUCAUUUCCUAUCAUGAAAUUCAAUUUCUUUGAACAAACGUUUUUUUGGUCAUACUAUAUUUGUUUUUCAUAAAAGCAUUCUUUGUGUUUUAAAAUAUUAUUUUCCAAUAAAAUAUUUCUUUCAAAAACUAUAAUUGAAUAAAUUGAGAUUUUUUGAAAAUUAAAUUUUUAUACACUUGUUUUUUAUUUACAGUAAUUAUGAAGUUUAAUAAUUAAAAAAAUUAGUUUUCAAAGAUAAUUGAUUUGGUGAAAAUAAUGCACUCCGUAUUUAUAUGAAAGAUAAGGAUAAUAUAGUCUACCAAUAAACUUUGUAAUAAAUAUGAUGUUAAAAUAAUAAUUCAUGGAAUGAAAAUAUCACUACCUUUAUAACUAAUUUAAUUAUAGUAUUAAAUUUGCAUUUUAAUUAAUAAAUAAAUUAAGUUUGCAUAUUUAAAAGAGACAUUCUAUCACUUAAUUCAAUUCAUUUUAUUUUUUAUAUUACUAUCAUCACUGCAAAAUUACCUAAAAAUUCAAAUCCAAAUAUCUUUCAAUAAGAUCUUAUUUUCUUAUAGAGAUCAAAUAAUAUGACAGAAGAGAAUUUGUUGUGAUUUAAGUGCAUUCAAGAGAUGGAUGUUAAGGUCUAGAUCUAUUAAAAUAAAAUCUAAUCGAAGUGAAUGUGUGCGCAUUAUCUAUCUCCUGGAAUUUGACAUCUCUGGGAGUUUUUUCUGCUGAGACUGCUAGGGAAUUUCUCAGGAAGAAAGGGAAGAGAGAUGGAUGGUUCCUACUUUUGUGGGGUACUUUCCAUGUCCUAAGGCAAACUGUCGUAGGUUGGCCUGUAUUCUUUGAUAGAUUAACAAACAAGAAAAGGCAAAUCAAGUUGGUGUAGUUCUACUGCUGCAGUCUGCAGAUAGCAAAAUUUUCAACUCAGUGGCGUUUGAAGAAUGGGAUGUCGAGUCUUGUGGGGCCAAAGGAAAGUUGCAGGAAAAGGAUUCAAGUCUGGUGUCAUGAGAGUUUCUUGGUGUUUUUUAAUUUUCUUAACGUGGAAGGAAUGAAAUCGAAGGCCUCGAGAUGCUGUCAAGUUUUGAAAACUAAGGUUGUUUGGUGUUGUGUUUUGGAAAUGUUUUUGAAAAAAAGUUACAAAUUUUUAUUUUUUUUUCAAAUUAAUUUUUUUUUUUCAAAUUAAUAUGUUUUUGAUCUCUUGUUGUUAAAGAUAAUUUUUAAAAAAAUAAAAAAAAAUUAUUUUAAUAUGUUUUGAAAUGAAAAGUACUUUUGUAAAAUAGUCGCUACCAUACUCUCAAACACACUUAGUUAUAACAAAAAAUUGCUAACAAAGAAAAAUCGUCUUUGGUGUAGCAAAAGGUUGCUAACAAAGAAAAAUGAGAUCCUUCCCACUCAUACGGGUAAUAACUAGGUUCUCUAGUUUUCUUUUGUAUAAAUUAGAAAUUUAAAAACUAUCCAUGUAUUUUAUUCUUAAGUAACCAUAUAACAUGAAACUAAUAAUAUCCUCCUUGUAUUUUGUGUUUGGAAUACUAGAUUAUAUUAUUUUGUAUUUUUUAUGGUGUUUGGAAACCUCAAAUAAUAAAGUCAAUAACUUUAAAAAACAAUUACAAUAAAUAAAAGAAUAAACAUUAAAUUCCAAGAACAAGUGUUUUUGUUCUUGUUUUGGUAUGAUAAACACUCUAGGAUUUAAAAAUAUUAUUGUCUAAAGAAUAGAAAUUGUCGACCCCUUGAUGAUUCAUGAGAUAUUUAUAGCUUAGAAAUCUUAUUCUUUAGUUUGAAUAGAGGGGCUGAAAUGUAAUAUUAUCCUGAUAGCAUCAAUGAUGGAUAAAUAUAUAUUAUAUAAACAAUAAUAAAAAACAAAUAUCUCUUAAACAUACAUUAACAAUAUAUAAAUAUCUCUAGCUUUAACACUUUAUGUUAAAAGUCAUUAGAAUAGCCGAAUAAAGUCUUACGAUCCAAAAUAAAGCCUAUAAUGUUUUAUAGGCCUUUUGUUAUUUAUGCUUAGAACGCUGCCAAACCCAUGAUCAAUGGGUAUUGUAAUGAGUUUUACACAUGUCCAUUUGAGUUUGGCACGUAACUAAACUUGAGCUAAACCCAUGCCAUCCGGACUAAGUAUUUUAUCAAAUCUAUAAAUGUUGGGUAUAGACGCGAGACCUGCCUACUUUUGAAGGCAUUAUUAUCUUGCAUUUGAAUCUUUGAAAUAGAAACUUAGGCCCGACAAAAUAUAGAUCCAUCACUAUUAUUAUUUUUCUUGUACAAGACAGAGACUAAAGAAAAAUGAAUUUUAAAAUAUCUUAAGCUUUUCAUAUUUUAUUACUAGUUUGAAUAUGAAUCACUUACACUUUUAUAUCCUUUCAAUAUAAUCAAAUUGUGAAGAGCUUAUUGAAAUUAUUAAAAAUAUUCACAAUGAUAUUACUAAGAAAUCACACUUCAACUUUAUUGGAUCAAUAUUUUUCAAAAAAUAGAGAAAUGAUAUAUAUAACUAUAGUUUAGUCCUAAAAUUUUAUCUUAACACAAACAAGUUAAUAUAAUAAAAAUUUUACUAUCUUCUAUGAUGCUAUAAUGUGUUUGCCAUUGCAAUCUUCAAAAAAUACUUGCACGGUUAUAAAGUACAAUUUUAUUUUUUAAUUCAAAAAAAGUGCAUUCUCAUUAUUUAUUCAAAUUGGGAUAAAAAAAUCAUUAUUAUAAAAUAGGACAUAAAAGAUAUAAAUAGUUACUAAAACUCAUAAUUCGGAUUAUGGACCCCACUAGGUUUAGAAAAAAAAUUAUUUAUUUUUAUUUAAUAACAUGAUAACAGAAAUAAACACUUGUAAAAUUAAGUAUUUAUCAAAUAGUUAAUUUUUCAUAUCUUUAAGGAAUACUUCUUAAAUUCUAAGUUUUAAUAUAUAUUUAUGACCUCAAAAAAAAAUUAAUCUUAUGGUGAUUACAAUAAAAUAUUUUGAAGCAGAGAUAUGAAUAAGUUGAGGUCUUUACUUGAAUUUAAUAUAAAUAAAUGAAUCUAUUAUAUAAUAUAUAUGAUUGAAAUUUCUAAACUUGUUUAUUAAAUUGAUGAGAUAUAGAUUUACUAAUGAUUUUUGGCUGAGUUUUAAAAGAAAAAGCACGUGUUGCAUGGGAUAUUUAAAGAUUAAAAUGGAGAAAAUCUAAUAAAAAUAGUGUCAAUAAAACACCAUAAACAUUUAAGGCAUGUAUAUUUCAUGGAAAGUGGUUUUUUUUUAUAAACUAUUUUUAAAAUUGUUUUAUGUUUAUUUAAUAUUAAAAAAUUUAAUCAGUAAAAAAAAAAUUUCAGUAAAAAAAAAAUUGACUUGUUUUUUUAGGAAAAUAAUAUUUUUAUAAGUUGUAAAAACUUAAAAAUAUCUUUUUAUUUAUUAAAUAUAUCAAAUUAAGUUGUGAUCUUUUAAUUGUUGUAUAUUUUAUGUUUAUUUUUUUAAAAUUUUAUUCUUUAAAAUUCAAUAUAAUAUGAUUUGAUUUUUAUAUAACUUUAAUCCUUGUUGUUUUUUUAUAAUUGAAAUUAGAAAAGAUAAUUAUUGGAGUUGUCAAUAAAAAAAUGCCAACGUUACACGGGGAUUUCUCAGAAAGAAAGGGAAGAGAGGUGGAUGGUUCAUACUUUUGUGGGGUAUGUCGAGUCCUGUGGGGCCAAAGGAAAGUUGCAGGAAACGGAUUCAAGUCUGGUGUCAUGAGAGUUGCUUGGUGUUUUUUAAUUUUCUUAAUUUGGAAGGAAUGAAAUCGAAGACCUCAAGAUGCUGUCAAGUUUUGAAAACGUAAGGUUUGUUGGUAUUGUGUUUUGGAAAUGUUUUUUAAAAAAAAUUAAUUUUUUUUAAAAAAAUUAAUAUGUUUUUUUUUCUUCAAAUUAAUAUAUUUUUGAUAUUUUUAAAAUAUAAAAUUAUUAUUUUAAUAUGUUUUGAGAUAAAAAAUACUUUAUAAAGUAAUUAUUAUCAUACUCUCAAAUAUGACAAAGAAAAAUCCUUUUAGGUGCAGCAAAAAGUUGCUAACAAAGAAAAUGAGAUCCUUCCGACUCAUGUCACACGAGUAAUAUCAAGUUUUUUUUGUUUUUUUUUUUGUAUAAAUUAGAAUUUUAAAAAUUAUCUAUGUAUUUUAUUCUUAAGUAACCAUAUAACACAAAACGUAAUAAUAUCCUCUUUUUAUUUUGUGUUUGGAAUACUAGAUUACAUUAUUUUGUAUUUUUUAUGGUGUUUGGGACCCUCAAAUAAUCUUUUGGUGAACGUUGUUUCUUAGAAAUCCAGAAGCAUAUAUUUCAUUAACUUUGUCCUGAUAUAUAUAUAUAUAUAUAUAUAUAUAUAUAUAGAGAGAGAGAGAGAGAGAGAGAGAGAGAGAGAGAGAGAGAACCAUCCUUCAUCUUGAAGAAUUUAUUUAUUAUAAAGUUGGAAAGAGUCUAGGGAGUGAAAGUUCGAUGCUCUGACGAGGAAGCUGCCAUGAAAUUCCUCAUUGCAAGCUGCUCUGACGGGCAACAAAAGUUGGAAAGAUGCCUCGACAGUUGACUUGACUUAACUGUAGCAGUAAUUUUUUUACAAAAGUUUGAUUGAAUUAAAAAAUAUAUAUAAAUGCACUAAAAAAACACUAUCCUAAGUCUUUGAGCUAACGGAAUCCUUCAGGUCUUCAACUCCGGUGAAAGGUAACUCGGUCCUUAAGCCUUUAAAAUUCUUGAUUUGGACCUUGUGUUCUUCUCUUUAUGAAAUGUCACCCCCAAGUUCUAUGUAUCUACAAAUUAAAAUCUACACAUCUCACAAUCUUAUGGGUCCCCCACAUGAGAUUUAAUUUGUUAAUAAAUUAAACCAUGAAAGAAGGGCUGUCAAGGACCAAUGUCACAAACUUUAAAGAUUAGGGACGAAGUUUCUUUUGAUCAAAACUUCAGGGGAGGUUUGAAUCAAUUAGUUUUCAAUAUAUGUAUAAAGGAACAGAGAAACAACUAAAAUAAGAGAAUUACAUUAUGGUCACCAAUCAAAAAAUAAUUUAAGGUUGAAAAGUCAAUCCUCUCAAGUCCACACACUUUACACAUCAUCAACACAAGAAAUUAGAAAACUAGCAUAUAAUGAUGCUUUACUUCGUUUCUCAAGAAAGAAAACACGAUAGGAAAUCGAGUGCCCCGGAAAAGAUUUCCAUCUACCCAAAACAGCCCAGAAACCAUUUUCCUCUGAACUUCAGUUCCUCACUAGUUGUUGUACAAAAUUCAGCUGGUUUUUCUUUGUGAAAAAGAAGCCAUGGCAGGUCAAGUUGUGAUAUCAGCAGUUGCUGGGGCUGGUUUCCAGAUGAUUUUUGGUGAUUUCACAGAGGUGGUUUUAGAAGCACUGAAAAACAACUCCCAGUUCAAGCCAAGCUUGAAGCGCCUAGCGGAUAUGUUAGAAGAAAUGGCUCCAAAUAUCAAGAGAAUAGAGUCUUUCAACAGAGAGCUUGAUCAACCAAAGCAACUUGAAGGGCUCAAAGGAUUAAUGAAAAAAGGCAAUGAUUUAGUCUCUAAAUGCUCAAAAAUCCAUAAAUACAACUAUUAUAAGAGGCCUCUUUAUAACAAGAAACUUCUCAAGUUGGGGAAGGAUAUUCGUGAUCAUAUUACCCGUUUGCAACUUCAGGGAAUAGCAGAUACAAAAGAGAUUUUGCAUACUCAAAGACAGUUAAAUGAUCAAAUCGGGAAGUUAAGCAUGACUCUAAGCAAUGGUGGUAGGGUGGAUUCAAGCAAGAGCUAUAGUAAUACUAUUUUAGCUGGUGUGUGCUCGCCUCCUCUACUGAAAGUGGAUCCUGUUGGAUUGGAGAUUCCAUUGAGUGAUUUGAGGAUAAAGCUGCUUAAUGACGAGACAUCACAGCAUAUAGUGUUAUCUGCUCCUGGAGGAUGUGGAAAGACAACAUUGGCUACAGCACUUUGUCAACAUGGGGAUGUUAAAGGUACACAUAUACUACUUGAGAGUUCUUUUGACUACCUCCUUUUGUCUUUCUAUUCUUCUGCUUAUUUUUGGUCCGGCUAUUUGUAUCCAUUUUUUUUAUGGUCAGAGAGUGUUUGAGUUGGUACACCUGUUAUAAAGGUUCUAUGAUCAUGUUAGGCGAACAAUUUUUCAAACAGAAUAGGGUAUCUGAACAAAGUUGAGCUUUAGUGCCCGAAAAGGUUUCAUUAUGUUUUUUAUUUGUAUCCUUUCGUUUUUCUGGUUUAAUGUGUAUCUCUAUUAAGGUUCAUGUACAUUCUCUUGUUGAAUUAUUCAUUUUUUAAGAAAUAAAAACAUAGAGACUUGUGUUUCUGCAGAAUUGUGGGGCUGUUAUUGAUUGAAAUAAGCAAAUGUAUGACAUUUUAGACACAGUUCAUUACUUGGAACUCUUUGGCAGAGUAAAUGAAGCAAUUCCCAUAUUUUGCUUUUAGUUUUUCUGAGGAUUAGAAUUUGGAGUUCCACACUUAGGCUCUUGUAUCCGUUUUGAUUUAGCUAUAUGUGAAAACAUAAGAAUUGCUGAAGAAAUUUCAUUACAGCGUUCUUCUUUUCCGACUUUUCAGAUAAAUUCAAGAGCAAUAUCUUCUUUGUCAGCGUUCCAAAGCUGCGCAACCUGAUGGUCAUUGUGAAGAUGAUAUUCCAGCAUAAAGAAAUUGAGUUACCUGAUUUUCGAAGUGAAGAAGAUGCAGCUAACCAUUUGGAACGUUUGUUCCAGCAGAUAGGACCAGAUCCAAUAUUAUUGGUCCUUGAUGAUGUUUGGCCCGAAUCGCAAUCUAAUCUUGACAAGCUCAAAUUCCGAAUAGAAAAUUACAAGAUUUUGGUGACAUCAAGAUAUGAAUUUCCAAGUUUUGGAUCCACAUAUAAAUUGAAAACAUUGAAUCUUGCAGAUGCCAUGACCCUUUUUCAGAAAUUGGCAUUUCCAUUGGAUCAGCAGUCAUAUGCUCCAGAUCAGCAAAUUCUAGAGGAGGUGAUUUAUCAACCUGCAAUUAUUAAUGCUUAUUUGCUCAUUUUUAUUUGGUUUUCACCUUCUACAUAAAUACAAAUUAGUGAACAAAUAUUCUCUGUCCAAUAUUGUGACUCUCUGAUUUAGCAUGCACUUGUGCUUACUUGUUUGUUGUCUUAUCAAGUGCUACCAGAAGUUCAAAUAAAAAUUCUGAAACCAUGUGUUUUGAAUCUGUAAAUUUACUCCAGGGACGAUAUCUUACAAUUUUGCAACUAUAGAAAAGAAAAGAAAAACGUCCAUUUUACACCUUUAAGAAACCAUCGAUGAGUUUACACAAUGGAACUUUAUUUUUAGUUUGUUACUGCCCACCAACCUGCAAGGAUUGACUGAUUUUUGUCAUGGCACUGAAUUGCAGAUGGUAAAAUACUGCAGGGGAUUUCCUCUAGUCAUUUCAGUGGUUGGAAAAUCUUUGUGCCGGAAGUCCGCUGCAGAAUGGCGUAAGAGACAUAGGGAAUGCUCUAAACCUGCUUCUAUUCUUUCUGACAAUGAAAUUCUCGAUUGUCUUCAAAGCAGUGUGGAAGCCUUGACUGAUAAUGUAGAAGCCAAGGAAUGUUUCAUGGACCUUGGUUCAUUCCCUGAAGACCAGAGGAUUCCUGCCACUACCCUUAUUGAUAUGUGGGCAGAAUUGUAUAACCUAGAUGAGGACAACGCCAUUGCCAAUCUCCACGAACUCUCUGAUAGGAAUCUGAUUGAAGUUGUUGUUACAAGGUAUGAUAGCUAUGAACCCUAUUGACAUUAUCAUGGCCAGGGUAUUUAUUCUAGUAAUAGUAUGUGGAAUCUUCACAUAAACAUUGAUUCUACGAAUAUCAUAUGGAUCCUACUACCACAUGGACCUUUAUAUAUAAAAUGAGCUAUCCUUGAAAAUAUUAGAAGAACAAAACCAUUACCAACUGGUUUAUGGGUGUUAAAAUAAUUGGUUUUCGUUUUGGGUUUCGCCGAUGGAUGACCAGCUUCAACUGCUAUGAUUGCAACUUUUGAUGGUCAUUAGAACUCCACUUGUGUUAUUCAUUUCAAUUAACUUGUGUGCUAUUAGUAGCUAACUUGUCAAGAGUGUGAGUCUCUAAGCAAUCAACUGCUGUGAUUCACCAGGAAAGAUGCAAACGAAGACGAUGGCUCCUAUAAUGAGCAUUUUGUCACGCAGCAUGACCUGCUCAGGGAGCUGGCCAUCCGUGGAAGCAACUCAGGAAACAUUGAGCACAGGAAACGAGUAUUAUUGGAGAUAAUUGAAAAUAAAAUCCCUGAGUGGUUGAUGGAACAAGAUCAGCUAUCAAUCAGGGCCAAACUCUUAUCUAUCUCAACAGGUUAUUAAUCCCUAUUAUUUUCUUAAUACAAAGAUAGCCUGGCCUCUGCGCACAUGCAUGCGCACAAGCAUCAAACAUACGCAACCAAUUCUUAAUUAUUAUUUUUUGUAUUUUGAUCACCUUGUUUGCAGAUGAAAAAUUCUCAUCAAGUUGGUCCACCAUGCAAGCGCCGGAAGUUGAGGUUUUACUUCUGAAUUUGCGGACAGAGAAAUUCUCAUUGCCUGAGUUCAUAGAAAGAAUGAAUAAGCUAAAAGUUUUAGUACUUCACAAUUAUGGGUUCGUUCCAGCUGAAUUGAGCAAUUUCCCACUUCUUGGUUCUUUAUCAAAUCUAAAGAGAAUAAGGCUGGAGAAGGUUUCCAUCCCAUCCCUUUUCUUGACUUCAAUGAAAUGGAGGAAGCUAGAAAAGAUGUCCUUGGUUAUGUGCAAUAUUCAUCAAGCUUUUAAUAAAUCAACCAACAAGAUUUCGGAUGCUUUCCCAAAGUUAGUCGACCUCACCAUUGACUACUGCAAUGAUCUGGAGGAAUUGCCAACAGGAUUCUGUGAUCUUGUCUUGCUAAGAAAGCUCAGUAUCACAAAUUGUCAUAAGCUUUUGGCACUGCCAGAGGACAUGGGAAAUUUACUUGAUUUGGAGGUCCUCAAGGCUCAACUCCUGCAUCGAAUUGACAGGGUUACCGGGCACAAUCGGUAGACUUCAUAAGUUGCAGAUUCUUGACUUAUCCGAAUGUCUGAGUGUAACAGAAUUGCCAGAACAGAUCGGUCAGUUGCAUGAUCUGAGAAAGCUCUACAUGAUAGAGUGCUCAAGUUGUGAAUUGCCAUCAUCAGUUGCGAAUCUUGUCCGCCUAAAAGAAGUAAUAGGCGAUCAAGAAACUGCCAUGUCAUGGAAUCGUUUCAAACCCUGCCUUCCAUCUCUGACGAUAAAGGUACAUAAGGAAAACAACUUGAACUGGCUUGGGUAGCCAUUGCUGUUUUCUGAUAAUGAUUACUCUCCAAGAAUUCUGACGAGCCUUUAAUUUGUAAUCAUGUCAUUGUGCUUUCCUUUAAUGCAUAGAAAGAAGGUGUGAUUCUGUAAAUUGUUAGUAGCCCUCUUUAAAAAUCGUAUUAUAACGGCGUCAAGCCAUUUUUCCUUGCAAAAAGACGUUUCUUGAUAAACCCAAAACGCAGCUUGCCAGCAAUUUCUACGAGCUGCAAUAUUUGACUAGAUUUUAUGGAUUUUUGGUUUGAGGAUUAUCAUAGAAUCCAUUUGGACGAGCUUAUUUGAAAUGAUGAAGUAAAAUAAAGAAAAAGGUCGUCUAGUGUGUUUAUAUAUAUAUAAAAGCUCUCAUGUUCUAGCUUUGAAAUGUCUUUUUUAGAGAUUGGGAGAUUUGAAUUCUAAACACCUUUCAGGGGGGACAAUGAGUAUACAGAUACAGAUUAGCUUGCUAACUACAGCCAUAGAAUGGUAGGGGUGGUAGGUGUAUUCUAAUGCCAAAACCCCAGUCCCUUUACGGGCUUUCCCUAAAAAAAUAAAAAAAAAUAAAAAAAACAACCCACAACAGCGAAAACACUAAACGUUAUGGCUAUUGGCUAAAUUGCAUAGCCAUUAGGUAUUUUACGUCUGGAAUAUUAGAUUGUAUUAUUUUGGUGUUUGGAAUUAUGACAAAGUUAAUAAUUUUUUUAAAAAAAAUUACAAUAAAUAAUAGAAUAAACAUUUAAUUCCAAGAACAAGUGUUUUUGUUUUUAUUUUGAAAUGCUAAAUGCUUUGUGAUUCAAAAGUACUAUUGUCUAGAGAAUAGAAAUUGUUAAUCCCUUAUCUGGUAAUUCAUGAGAUAUUUAUAAUCUAUGAAUAUUAUUUUUUAGUUUAAGUGGAGGAGUUGAAAUGUAAUUUUAUCUUGAUAUCAUUAAUAAUAAAUAAAUAUUUCUUACACAAACAUUAAUAAGAGACAAAUAUCUCUUAUGCAUACAUCAACAAUAGAUAAAUAUAUCUAACUUUAACACUUUAUAUUAAAAAUCAUAACAAUAAGCAAAUAAAAUCUUAUGACUCAACAUGAAGCCUAUAAUAAUUUAUAGACUUUUAGCUUUUUAUGCUUAGUACACUACCAAACCCAUGAUCAAUGGAUAUGGUAGCGAGCUAUACAGAUGAUGAUUAUUGAUUAGGCCUCGACACGUAACUAAGCUUGAUUUAAUCUCAUGCCAUCUAAGCUAAGUAUUUUGUCAAUUUUAAAAAUGUUGGGUACAAACAUGAGGCUUAUCCACUUAUCAAGACACUAUUAUCUUUCAUUUGAAUUUAUUUUUCUUGUACAAGAUAGAGACUAAUGAAAACAGAAUUUCAAAAGAUCUUAAGCUUUUCAUAAUUUAUUACUAGUCUGAAUAUAUAUCACUUAUACUUUUAUAUCCUUUCAAUAUAAUCAAAUUGUCAAGAGUUUAUUAUAAUUAUUAAAAAUAUUUACAAUGAUAUUACUAAGAAAUCACUCUUAAACUUUAUUGGAUUAAUAUUUUUUUAAAAACAGAGAAAUCGAAGACCUCAUGAUGCUGUCAAUUUUGAAAACUAAGAGUGAUUUAGGUGCAGCAAAAGGUUACCAAAGGAAAACGAGAUCCUUCCUACUCAUGUCAUGAAUAGUAUUUAAUUCCUCUAUGGUUUUUUUUUAUAUAUAUAAAUUAGAAAUUUAAGAAUUGUCCAUGUAUUAUGUUCUUAAUUAACCAUUUAACACGGAAUGUAAUAGUAUCUUCCUUAUAUUUUGAGUUUGGAAUAUACUAGAUUGUAUUUUUUAUGGUGUUCAAAACAAUCAAUAACUUUUAAGAAAAUAAUUAUAAUAAAUAAGAAAAUAAACAUUAAAUUUCAAGAAUAAAUGUUUUUAUUCUUGUUUUGAUAUGAUAAAUAUUUUAGGAUUUAAAAGUAUUAUUUUUUAGACAAUAAAAACAAUUAACAUAAUUCAUGAGAUAUUUGUAACUUGUGAAUUUUAUUUUUUUAGUUUGAGUGGAGGGGCUAGAAUUUAAUUUUGCCCAGCAUUAAUAAUAGAUAAAUAUCUCUAAUAUAAAUAUUAAUAAAAAAAAAAUAUCUCUUAUAUAUACAUUAAUAAUAGAUAGAUAUCUCUAACAUUAACAUUUUAUGUUAAAAGUUAUAAGAAUAAAUAAAUAAAGUCUUCCGACCCAAAAUGAGGCUUGUAAUGAUUUAUAGACCUUUAACCCUUUGUGCUUCGCGCAUUGCCAAACCCAUUAUCAAUGAGUAUGGUAGGGAGCUAUACACAUAUUUAUUUGGACUUGACACGUAACUAAGCUUGAGCUAAACUCAUGCUAUUAAGAAGCUAAGUAUUUUGUCAAAUCUAAAAAUGUUGGGUAUAGAUACGAGACAGACCUGCCCACUUAUCAAGGCAUUAUAAUCUUGCAUUUGGAUAUUUGAAAUAAAAACUUAGGCCGGCAAAAUAUAGAUCCAUCAAUAUUAUUAUUUUUCUUGUACAUGACAGAGACCAAAGAAAAAAAGAAUUUCAAAAUAUCUUAAGCUUUUCAUGCUUUAUUACUAGUUUGAAUAUGAAUCACUUACACUUUUAUAUCCUUUCAAUAUAAUCAAACUGUGUAGGGCUUAUUAUAAUUAUUAAAAAUAUUCAUAAUGAUAUUACUAAGAAUUCACUCUUCAAUUUUAUUGGAUCAAUAUUUAAAAACAAAUUAGAGAAAUGAUAGUCGCACACUCGAUUCCUGCAUUUACUGCUAAAUUUUUUUCAUAGCACAAACAUGUUAAUAUACUAAAACUUUUACAAUUUUAUUUUUUAAUUAAAAAAAAGUGCAUUCUCAUUAUUUAUUCAAAUUAGGAUAAAAAAGCAUCAUUAUUAUAAAAUAGGACAUAUCAAUAGUUACUAAAAGACAUAACUCGGAUUAUAAACCCCAUUAAAUUUAGAAAAAAAUAUUUAUUUUUAUUUAAUAGUAUAAUAACAAAACUAAACACUUGGAAUAUUAAGUCUUAAACUCUAAGUUUUGAUAUAUAUUACCUCAAAAAAAAGUUAUUAAUCUUCUUGCAAUUACAAUAAAAUAUUUGGAAGCAGAGAUAUGAAUAAAUUGAGGUCUUUAUUUGAAUUUUAAUAUAAAUAAAUGCAUCUAUUAUACAGUACAUAUGAUUCAAAUUUCUAAACUUAUUUAUUAAAUUGAUGAGAUAUGAAUUUAUUAAUGAUUUUUGGGUGAGUUUUGAAGAAAAAGCAAGUGUUGCAUGAGAUAUUUAAAGAUUAAAAUGAAGAAAAUCUAAUAAAAUAGUGUCAAUCAAACACUAUAAACAUUUAUUAUCUAUAUGUUUUGGAAAGUGAUUUUUUUAAUUAUUUUUAAAAUUGUUUUGUUUUUAUUUAACAUUAGAAAAGUUAGACAAUAGAAAACACUUUUCAAUUUAAGAAAACAUUUAGCUUAGAUUUUCAAAAAAAAAUAUUUUCUUUUAAUUUUAAAUGGAAAAUACUUUUCAAAAGUUGUAAAAAAACUUAAAAAUAUCUUUUUAUUUAUUAAAUAUAUCAAAUUAAGUUGUAAUCUUUUAAUUGUUGUAUAUUUUAUUUUUAAUUUUUUUAAAUUUAAUUUAAUAUAACUUAAUUUUAAUAAUCCCACUAUUUUUUUAUAAUUAAAAUUAAAAAAAGAUAAUUAUUAGAGUUCUGAAUAAGAAAUGCCAACGUCACACGGUUUAAGCUACUACUUAUUUUGUUCUUAUAGAUUUUGUUUUGGACAAUUAAGUGCAAAAUAAUUAGUAUAAAGCAUUGACGGGAAUAAAUUAUAUUACACUAAAAAAUUAAAAUAGACCUAUAUGGUAACAACCUAGAAUUUAUUAUUAUUAUUAUUAUUAUUAUUUAUUAACAUGAAUAUCCAAACUAACUGGCAUGAAUCUCAACUAAUUUAAAAAAUAUUAAAAUUAAUAAUUAUAUAAAUCUCAAGUGACCUUAAAAUUUAUGGUAUUCAAACUAAUAACCUUUUAAAAAAUAAAUUUAAAAUUUAAUGAGUUAAGUCAUACCCUAGAAUUAUUUUUAUUUGUUGAGUUGUUUGUUAAAGUUGCACAUUAGUCAUCUUUUGGUGAACGUGGUUUCUUAGAAGUCAAGAAUCAUAUAUUUCUUGAACAAUUUAUUUGAUUCUCAAAGUGGACCAACGGGCGAUAAAAGUUGAAAAGAAUCUACAGAGUGAAAGUUCGAUGCACUGACGAGGAAGCUGCCAUGAAAUUCCUUAUUGCAAGCUGCCAUGCCCCACCUGCCUCGACCGUCGACUUGACUUAACUAUAGCAGUAUUUUUUUUUUUAGAAAAGUGUGUUUGAAUUAAAAAAAAAAUAUAAUGUUCUUUCAGGUUUUUGUUUUUUCAGCAUCAAGGUAUUGAUAUUAAAAUCGUUUAAAAAUAUUUAAAAAAUUAUCAAAUUACCAUUCAAAUACACUUUAAAAAAUCCUUUCGAACACAAUAUAAAUGCGCUAAAAAAGCAUUAUCCGAGUAUGUUUGUCAAUGUGGUAGCAAUUGUUUUUCAAAUAAUUUUUCGUGUUGAAAUACAUGUCAAUGAUAUUUUUUUAUUUUUAAAAAAUUAUUUUUGAUAUCAACAUAUCAAAACGAUUCAAAACGUACAAACCGUAUUAAAUUUUAACAAAAAAAAAAUUAAAUUUGACGGAAACACAAUUUCAACCGUGUUCCCAAACACUUCGCAAGUCUUUGAUCUAACGGAAUCCUUCAAGGCUUCAACUCCGGUGAAAGGAAACUCAGUCCUUAAGCAUUUAAAAUUCUUGAUUUGGUCCUUGUGUUCUUCUCUUUAUGAAAUGUCACACCCAGGUUCUAUGUAUUAAUAAAUUAAAAUCUACAUGUGAAUAUCCUUUAAAGGACACACAUCUCACGAUCUUAUGGGUCCCCACAUGAGAUUUAAUUUGUUAAUAAAUUAAACCAUGAAAGAAGGGCUGUCAAGGACCAAUGUCACAAACUUUAAAGAUUAGGGACGAAGUUUCUUCUGAUCAAAACUUCAGGGAAGGUUUGAAUCAAUUAGUAUUCAAUAUAUGUAUAUAGGAACAGAGAAACAACUAAAAUAAGAGAAUUACAUUAUGGUCACCAAUCAAAAAAUAAUUUAAGGUUGAAAACUCAAUCCUCUCAAGUCCACACACUUUACACAUCAUCAACACAAGAAAUUAGAAAACUAGCAUAUAAUGAUGCUUUACUUCGUUUCUCAAGAAAGAAAACACGAUAGGAAAUCGAGUUCCCCGGAAAAGAUUUCCAUCCACCCAAAACAGCCCAGAAACCAUUUUCCUCUUAACUUCAGUUCCUCACUAGUUGUUGUACAAAAAUCAGCUGGUUUUUCUUUGUGAAAAAAAGCCAUGGCAGGUCAAAUUGCUGUAUCAGCAGUUGCUGGGGCUGGUCUCGAGAUCAUUUUUGGUGAUUUCUUAAAAAUGGUUUUAAAAGCAAAGAAAAACAACUCCCAGUUCGAGCCAAGCUUGAAGCGCCUAGAGGAGAUGUUGAAUGAUAUGACUCCAAAUAUCAAGAGAAUAGACUCUUUCAACAGAGAACUUGAUCAACCAGAGCAACUUGAAAGGCUCAAAGGAUUAGUGACAAAAGGCAAUGAUUUAGUCUCUAAAUGCUCAAAUAUCCAUAAAUACAACUACUUGAAGAGGCCUAUUUAUAACAAGAAACUUCUCAAGUUAGAGAAGGAUAUUCGCGAUCAUAUUAGCAGUGUUUUGCAACUUCAGGUGGUAGCAGAUGCAAAAGAGAGUUUGCAUACACAAAAUUCGACUUUGGUCGCUGUGAAAGGUGUUUCUUCUGGAGUAAGACAGUUAAAUGAUCAAUUCGGGAAGUUAACCAUGACUCUAAGCAAUGGUGAUUGGGUGGAUUCAAGCAAGAGCUAUAGUAAUACUAUUUUAGCUGGUGUGUGCUCGCCUCCUCUACUGAAAGUGGAUCCUGUUGGAUUGGAGAUUCCAUUGAGUGAUAUGAGGAUAAAGCUGCUUAAUGAUGAGACAUCACAGCAUAUAGUGUUAUCUGCUCCUGGAGGAUGUGGAAAGACAACAUUGGCUACAGCACUUUGUCAACAUGGGGAUGUUAAAGGUACACAUUUACUACUUGAGAGUUCUUUUGACUACCUCCUUUUGUCUUUCUACUUCUUCUGCUUAUUUUUGGUCCGGCUAUUUGUAUCCAUUUUUUUAUGGUCAGAGAGUGUUUUAGUUGGUACACCUGUUAUAAAGGUUCUAUGAUCAUAUUAGGCGAACAAUUUUGCAAACAGAAUAGGGUAUCUGAACAAAGUUGAGCUUUGGUGCCCGAAAGGUUUCAUUAUGUUUUUUAUUUGUAUCCUUUUGUUUCUCUGGUCUAAUGUGUAUCUCUAUUAAGCUUCAUGUACAUUCUCUUGUUGAAUUAUUCAUUUUUCAAGAAAUAAAAACAUAGAGACUUGUGUUUCUGCAGAAUUGUGGGGCUUUUAUUGAUUGAAAUAAGCAAAUGUAUGAUAUUUUAGACACGGUUCAUUACUUGGAACUCUUUGGCAGAGUAAAUGAAGCAAUUCCCAUAUUUUGCUUUUAGUUUUUCUGAGGAUUAGAAUUUGGAGUUCCACAUGUAGGCUCUUGUAUCCGUUUUUAUUUAGCUAUAUGUGAAAACAUAAGAAUUCCUGAAGAAAUUUCAUUACAGCGUUCUUCUUUUCCGACAUUUCAGAUAAAUUCAAGAGCAACAUCUUCUUUGUCAACGUUCCAAAGCUGCGCAACCUGAUGAUCAUUGUGAAGAUGAUAUUCCAGCAUAAAGAAAUCGAGUCACCUGAUUGUCGAAGUGAAGAAGAUGCAGCUAACCAUUUGGAACGUUUGUUCAUGCAGAUAGGACCAGAUCCAAUAUUAUUGGUCCUUGAUGAUGUUUGGCCAGUGUCGGAAUCUAUUCUUGACAUGCUCAAGUUCCGAAUAGAAAAUUUCAAGAUUUUGGUGACAUCAAGAUAUGAAUUUCAAAGUUUUGGAUCCACAUAUAAAUUGAAAACAUUGAAUCCUGCAGAUGCCAUGACCCUUUUUCAGAAAUUGGCAUUACCACGGGAUCAGCAGUCAUAUGCUCCAGAUCACCAAAUUCUAGAGGAGGUGAUUUAUCAACCUGCAAUUAUUAAUGCUUAUUUGCUCAUUUUUAUUUAGCUUUCACCUUAUACAUAAAUACAAAUUAGUGAACAAAUAUUAUGUGUCCAAUAUUUUGACUCUCUGAAUUAGCAUGCACUUGUUCUUACUUGUUUGUUGUCUUAUCAAGUGCUAUCAGACCUUCAUGUAAAAAUUCUGAAACCAUGUGUUUUGAAUCUGUAAAUUUACUCCAGGGAUGAUAGCUUACAACUUUGCAACUAUAGAAAAGAAAAGAAAAGCAUCCAUUUUACACUUUUAAGAAACAAUCGAUGUGUUUACACAAUGGAACUUUAUUUUUAGUUUGUUACUGCCCACCAACCUGCACGGAAUGACUGAUUUUUGUCAUGGCACUGAAUUGCAGAUGGUAAAAUACUGCAGGGGAUUUCCUCUAGUCAUUUCAGUGGUUGGAAAAUCUCUGCGCCGGAAGUCUGCUGCAGAGUGGCGUAAAAGACAUAGGGAAUGCUCUAAAGCUGUUUCUAUUCUUUCCGACUAUGACAAAAUUCUCGAUUGUCUUCAAAGCAGUGUGGAAGCCUUGGAUGAUAAUGUAGCAGCCAAGGAAUGUUUCAUGGACUUUGGUUCAUUCCCAGAAGAUCAGAGAAUUCCUGCCACUACCCUUAUUGAUAUGUGGGCAGAAUUGUAUAACCUGGAUGAAGAUGACGCCAUUGCCAAUCUCCACAAACUCUCUGAAAUGAAUCUGAUUGA
rnacentral:lncRNA from 1 species